UACGGAGGGUGCAAGCAUUACUCGGAUUUAUUGGGCGUAAAGGGCGCGUAGGCGGCUGUACAAGUCAAAGGUGAAAUCCCUCGGCUCAACUGAGGAACUGCCUUUGAAACUGUACGGCUUGAGGCCGGGAGGGGGUAGCGGAAUUCCCAAUGUAGCGGUGAAAUGCGUAGAUAUUGGGAAGAACACCGGUGGCGAAGGCGGCUCACUGGCUCAUUACUGACGCUCAGGCGCGAUAGCGUGGGGAUCAAACAGG
rnacentral:rRNA from 1 species